rnacentral:lncRNA from 1 species
AGUACUGCUUCAGAAGUGGAGGAAGUUGGCUGUUCUCUGGUGCUUGCUUUUUUUUUAGCAUAUACUUCAAGUCCUGCUAAAUCAAGAUGCUAUAUUCUCACCUACCUGCAUUGCCCGGUUGCCGGUGGGGGAAGAUGACUGUGGGCUGGGGAGGCUGCAAUUUCAACCCUGCUUGCUGUUUGAGCGGCAUCCGAUUCAAGUGCUGACUCCUUUGGUGCUGAGAUGGAGCAGGUUGAUGGAAGGCUGGACAGGGCUGAGCGAUCCGAUCCUGCUGUAGCUGGCUCCAAUUGGCGUGGGGGAAGUUGGACCAGGUGGCUGUUAUGGGUCCCUGCCACCCUGAGUGACUUCAAAAUUCUGUGAUAAGUCAGUGCUUAAAAACCCAUGUAAUCUAACAGCUAUGCUAUUGAACAGCUACCAGUAAUGACAUUAUUGAGUUAACUGUAUUUACACUACAGUUUAAAUAAUUAAUUAAACUAUAAGUAACAGUUACAUAGAUGUUGGAAAGAAUGAAGAAUAGUUUAGAAACAUUUUGUUGUAUAAAAUCCAGGUUAGAAGAGAAACCAUGGCACUUGUUAUGUAAGUUUCUUGCACGGUAUUAUGUGUAUCAGAAAAUGCUUUGUAACGUGUAGAUGAUACUAGACUUCCAGAACUACUCUACUGCUAAAUUAAACCUAUUUACAGCUGUGCCAAUAUAUAAUGUCUGAGCCUUGUUCUUUUGUCUUUCUGCCUUUUAUUUAAGGAAUGUAAAGUUAAAUAACUUCGUGGGUGUCAGGAGGUGGUUAUACUAGGUUUGUUGGGCAUUAUUUUAAAAUGACGCAUUUCCCCAGUGAUGCUCCAAUAUUUCUAAACACCUUGUAGCUUCCAUCUUGGUAUCCUUAUGUGCUACUGUCAGGCUUAAGGUCUUUACGCACAGCCUCCUUCUCUCCAACUUAUGCUAUGAAGCUUCUCCUGUGUCACAUUACCAAAAUAAAGUAUGUAUACACUAUGUGCUUUCA